rnacentral:rRNA from 1 species
ACUGAACGCUGGCGGCAGGCCUAACACAUGCAAGUCGAGCGGAUGAUGGGAGCUUGCUCCUUGAUUCAGCGGCGGACGGGUGAGUAAUGCCUAGGAAUCUGCCUGGUAGUGGGGGACAACGUUUCGAAAGGAACGCUAAUACCGCAUACGUCCUACGGGAGAAAGCAGGGGACCUUCGGGCCUUGCGCUAUCAGAUGAGCCUAGGUCGGAUUAGCUUGUUGGUGAGGUAAUGGCUCACCAAGGCGACGAUCCGUAACUGGUCUGAGAGGAUGAUCAGUCACAGUGGAACUGAAACACGGUCCAGACUCCUACGGGAGGCAGCAGUGGGGAAUAUUGGACAAUGGGCGAAAGCCUGAUCCAGCCAUGCCGCGUGUGUGAAGAAGGUCUUCGGUUUGUAAAGCACUUUAAGUUGGGAGGAAGGGUUGUAGAUUAAUACUCUGCAAUUUUGACGUUACCGACAGAAUAAGCACCUGCUAACUCUGUGCCAGCAGCCGCCGUAACAC